rnacentral:rRNA from 1 species
GACGAACGCUGGCGGCGUGCUUAACACAUGCAAGUCGAACGGUGAAGCGCCUUCCUUUUUGGUGGGUGUGGAUGAGUGGCGAACGGGUGAGUAACACGUGAGUAACCUGCCCCCUUCUUCUGGAUAACCGCAUGAAAGUGUGGCUAAUACGGGAUAUUCUGGGUCUGUCGCAUGAUGGGUCUGGGAAAGAUAUUGUUUCGGUGGGGGAUGGGCUCGCGGCCUAUCAGCUUGUUGGUGGGGUGAUGGCCUACCAAGGCGGUGACGGGUAGCCGGCCUGAGAGGGUAGACGGUCACACUGGGACUGAGACACGGCCCAGACUCCUACGGGAGGCAGCAGUGGGCAAUAUUGCACAAUGGGGGCAAGCCUGAUGCGGCGAGGCCGCGUGAGGGAUGGAGGCCUUCGGGUUGUGAACCUCUUUCGCCAGUGAAGCAGGCCUGCCUCGUUUGUGGGUGGGUUGACGGUAGCUGGAUAAGAAGCGCCGGCUAACUACGUG